GCUAAACUCCAUUAGUGAGCAAAGAUCACUAAAGCUCUGCCACUGAAGUCAGAGCUGCCUUCUGUCAGCAAAGCCAAGAGUUACUUGGAAUUGUAUGGAUGGGGAACAGGAUAGAUCCAGGUGGAUUGACCUAAGCCUGAGAACAUUAAGCUUCCCAUCCUUUCCAGAAGCAAAGUUCAUUCAGGCAUGAUUUAGGGUUAUUGAAGUAGUAAGAUCUGCUAGAAGACAAUGGAAGCAAAAAGAAGAAAUUAGAGCAGAAGAAAAUGAGGAACAGAGAAUGUGGAAAAAUUCCAGGAAUGAGAAAGAGACAGAAAACACAGAAGAAAGGCGGUAUAGACAGAAAAGAAAACUGUCUUUAACUAUUAUUGAGCAGGUAAUCUCUUUCAAAUUCUGGAAGAAAUAGAACCAAAGUUGAUGAGAGGCUUUUCCUUCAAUUAUUUAAGCUGCUUGUUUUUAAAACGCUAAAUGUAUUAGUGUAUGAGAAAACUUUAAAUGAAAAAAAACAUUAAGGAAGACAUGUACAUUGUACUUUAUUUCCUCUUUUUUCCUGUGUAAAAUAAAACAGUUAACGUUAAGAAUAUGAAAAACCUUAUUAAAACAGA
rnacentral:lncRNA from 1 species